rnacentral:rRNA from 1 species
GACGAACGCUGGCGGCGUGCCUAAUACAUGCAAGUCGAACGGGAGCGACCGGUGCUUGCACUGGUCAAUCUAGUGGCGAACGGGUGAGUAACACGUGGGUAACCUGCCCAUCAGAGGGGGAUAACAUCCGGAAACGGAUGCUAAAACCGCAUAGGUCUUCGAACCGCAUGGUUUGAAGAGGAAAAGAGGCGCAAGCUUCUGCUGAUGGAUGGACCCGCGGUGCAUUAGCUAGUUGGUGAGGUAACGGCUCACCAAGGCCGUGAUGCAUAGCCGACCUGAGAGGGUGAUCGGCCACAUUGGGACUGAGACACGGCCCAAACUCCUACGGGAGGCAGCAGUAGGGAAUCUUCCGCAAUGGACGCAAGUCUGACGGAGCAACGCCGCGUGAGUGAAGAAGGUUUUCGGAUCGUAAAACUCUGUUGUUAGAGAAGAACAAGUGCUAGAGUAACUGUUAGCGCCUUGACGGUAUCUAACCAGAAAGCCACGGCUAACUACGUG